UACUAGUUUUUGGGUAUUGAAUAUAAGAUAUGGUUAUCAUAUUUGCAAUAUUGUGCAAUAACUAAAGAAAAAUAAACGAUUGUGUAAAGACAAAGUGGACCUAUGUGUUGGCAAUGAGCAAGAGUUACUGCAUUAAUUAUAGGAAUUUAUUGUUUAACUUUUUCAAGUGGGUUGAUACUAUAACUUGAUAAUUAUUAUUUUGUUCUAGUACUUUCUAUAAAUAUCAUAUUCAUUUCUUACU
rnacentral:lncRNA from 1 species